GACCUAGUGGCGAAAGGGAUCGCACCUGCUUCCGCUGUAGUUUCAAAACCGCUGUUUACGACAGGAAUCCCUGGUUCGACUCCAGGCCAGGUCU